AAAAGAUCAUGGCCCUGAAUAUCAGUGUAAUAGAAUUAGAUGGAUACAAAUUCCUACAUUUCUCCCUGUAACUUCUAUACCUAGCUAAUAUGCGAAUAACCUUGAGGGGUGGGGGAUGAUCCAUAACUUGGGCAAUGGUCAGAUGAGUGUCACUUCAGUCUGCAACAUGAAUGUAGGUAUGGCAAACAUCUCAGAAGGGAUCCUCCCUGGGGGUUGGAGGAGAGAGUGGAGAAAGAUUGGAGAAGAGAGAAAGAGAAGGAUGUAGAGAAAUUAUCUGCAGGAAUUACCCUGAUCCGGCUUGCAUAAACAGACUCCCUCCCCAUCCCUCUGUGCUGCCUGGCUCAGACUCAGCUCAUAAAUCAAGCAAAGAAAUCGCCAGGACGAUGAGAUCGGCGCUGAUGAUGAAAUGAGAAGCGGGGAAGCGAGCUGCUGGAAAAGGAGGUUUUAGACUGCAGUGACAAUAGAGUUGGGUUCUGGGUCAGCUGGUAACUUGGAAGGAGACCAGUGGUUGAAAAAGUGCAAUGAAACAAUACACAGAGAAGCAGAUCUUCCAACGUGAUGUCAUCUUUUCUUUGAACAUGCCGU